rnacentral:rRNA from 1 species
UACGUAGGUGACAAGCGUUGUCCGGAUUUACUGGGCGUAAAGAGCGCGCAGGCGGUCGAUCAAGUCGAGUGUGAAAGCCCCCGGCUUAACUGGGGAGGGUCAUUCGAUACUGCUCGGCUCGAAGACAGGAGAGGGAAGCGGAAUUCCCGGUGUAGUGGUGAAAUGCGUAGAUAUCGGGAGGAACACCAGUGGCGAAGGCGGCUUUCUGGCCUGUUCUUGACGCUGAGGCGCGAAAGCUAGGGGAGCAAACGGG